rnacentral:rRNA from 1 species
CCCUUAGAUGUUCUGGGCCGCACGCGCGCUACACUGUUCGACGCAGCGAGUCUUAACCUUGACCGAAAGGUUUGGGUAAUCUUCAGCAAAGUCGAACGUGAUGGGGAUCGAUCAUUGCAAUUAUUGAUCGUGAACGAGGAAUUCCUAGUAAGUGCAAGUCAUCAGCUUGCGCUGAUUACGUCCCUGCCCUUUGUACACACCGCCCGUCGCUACUACCGAUUGAAUGGUUUAGUGAGGCCUUCGGAUCCGCGAUUUUAUUGUGGAGAAGUUGGACAAACUCAGUCAUUUAGAGGAAGUAAAAGUCGUAACA